rnacentral:rRNA from 1 species
GUCUACGGCCAUACCACCCUAAACACGCCCUAUCUCGUCUGAUCUCAGAAGCUAAGCAGGGCAGGCCUGGUUAGUACUUGGAUGGGAGAAUCAAUCAUGGAUGAAAAAAUUCAGCUCCUGACC